CCUACGGGUGGCAGCAGUGGGGAAUAUUGGACAAUGGGGGCAACCCUGAUCCAGCCAUGCCGCGUGUGUGAAGAAGGCCCUCGGGUUGUAAAGCACUUUCAGUGAGGAAGAACGCCUGGUGGUUAAUACCCAUCAGGAAAGACAUCACUCACAGAAGAAGCACCGGCUAACUCCGUGCCAGCAGCCGCGGUAAUACGGAGGGUGCGAGCGUUAAUCGGAAUUACUGGGCGUAAAGCGCGCGUAGGUGGCUUGAUAAGCCGGUUGUGAAAGCCCCGGGCUCAACCUGGGAACGGCAUCCGGAACUGUCAAGUUAGAGUGCAGGAGAGGAAGGUAGAAUUCCCGGUGUAGCGGUGAAAUGCGUAGAGAUCGGGAGGAAUACCAGUGGCGAAGGCGGCCUUCUGGACUGACACUGACACUGAGGUGCGAAAGCGUGGGUAGCAAACAGGAUUAGAUACCCUGGUAGUC
rnacentral:rRNA from 1 species